UAAUACGUAGGGUGCAAGCGUUAAUCGGAAUUACUGGGCGUAAAGGGUGCGCAGGCGGUUUUGUAAGUCAGAUGUGAAAUCCCCGGGCUUAACCUGGGAACUGCGUUUGAAACUACAAGACUAGAGUGUGGCAGAGGGGGGUGGAAUUCCAUGUGUAGCAGUGAAAUGCGUAGAGAUAUGGAAGAACAUCGAUGGCGAAGGCAACCCCCUGGGUUAACACUGACGCUCAGGCACGAAAGCGUGGGGAGCAAACAGGAUUAGAUACCCUGGUAGUCCACGCCCUAAACUAUGUCAACUAGUUGUCGGGCCUUAAUAGGCUUGGUAACGCAGCUAACGCGUGAAGUUGACCGCCUGGGGAGUACGGUCGCAAGAUUAAAACUUAAAUGAAUUGACGG
rnacentral:rRNA from 1 species